rnacentral:lncRNA from 1 species
UAUAUGGAAUUGGAGUCGUGACCAUUGAGUGAACUGUGUGGAACUGUUCAUAACGAUGGCUCAGUCAUGUAGCCUGAACAUGUUCUUGCAGCUUCCCAAGUUCACAUUCUUUUCCCUCACCCAUUGGCUGUGUUUGCUGUCUAUCUCUUGGUACAAAACCAUCAGCCUGCCCCUGUGCCUUUCUCUCUUCAUCUCUCUGGUUUUUCUGUCUUUCCCUUUCUCCCUCCCUCCCUUGAAAAGGAGAGGGAUGUUCAGGGUAUGGGAAGGUGUUCUGUGAUCUCUUACAGCGUGAAGCUUCUAAUGAAGGCAGGCCCACAGCACUGACAGAUCAAAUGCAACAGUGAAGGCUUGUUUAUCGGCUAAUGAACAUGAUCCAGAAUGUCAGUUAACUCCUGUUAACUAUUUUCCUUCUUGACAAUUUAAAAAAAAAAAAAGAA